AUUGAACGCUGGCGGCAGGCCUAACACAUGCAAGUCGAGCGGAUGAAGGGAGCUUGCUCCUGGAUUCAGCGGCGGACGGGUGAGUAAUGCCUAGGAAUCUGCCUGGUAGUGGGGGAUAACGUCCGGAAACGGGCGCUAAUACCGCAUACGUCCUGAGGGAGAAAGUGGGGGAUCUUCGGACCUCACGCUAUCAGAUGAGCCUAGGUCGGAUUGGCUAGUUGGUGGGGUAAAGGCCUACCAAGGCGACGAUCCGUAACUGGUCUGAGAGGAUGAUCAGUCACACUGGAACUGAGACACGGUCCAGACUCCUACGGGAGGCAGCAGUGGGGAAUAUUGGACGAUGGGCGAAAGCCUGAUCCAGCCAUGCCGCGUGUGUGAAGAAGGUCUUCGGAUUGUAAAGCACUUUAAGUUGGGAGGAAGGGCAGUAAGUUAAUACCUUGCUGUUUUGACGUUACCAACAGAAUAAGCACCGGCUAACUUCGUG
rnacentral:rRNA from 1 species